UGAAUACGAGACGCUAAGGCGUCGAAGUAGUGUAUGUCAUACUUCCAAGAAAAGCUUGCACUGUCAUAAGUAAAAAAUGCCUGUACCAUAACCGACACAGGUGGGUAGGUAGAGUAUACUAAGGGGCGCGAGAUAACUCUCUCUAAGGAACUCGGCAAAAUAACUCCGUAACUUCGGGAGAAGGAGUACCUUAUUCUAUAAGGUUGCAAUAACAAGAUCCAAGCAACUGUUUAUCAAAAACACAGGUCUCCGCUAAGUCGUAAGACGAUGUAUGGGGGCUGACGCCUGCCCAGUGCCAGAAGGUUAAAGAAGUCGGUUAGCAUUAGCGAAGCUGGUAACUGAAGCCCUGGUGAACGGCGGCCGUAACAAUAACGGUCCUAAGGUAGCGAAAUUCCUUGUCGGGUAAGUUCCGACCCGCACGAAAGGCGUAAUGAUUUGGAUACUGUCUCGGAGAGGGGCUCGGUGAAAUAGACUUGUCUGUGAAGAUGCGGACUACCUGCACCAGGACAGAAAGACCCUAUGAAGCUUUACUGUAACUUGAAAUUGAAAUUGGACUUUAUUCGCGCAGUAUAGGUGGGAGGUGUUGAUUAUAAUCUUGCGGGAUUAUUGGAGCCAUCAGUGAGAUACCACUCUUGUAAUGUUAGAUUUCUAACUUUGAAUCAUUAUCUGGUCAAAGGACAGUUUCAGGCGGGCAGUUUGACUGGGGCGGUCGCCUCCCGAACGGUAACGGAGGCGUACAAAGGUUUCCUCUGAACGGGUAGAAAUCGUAUCUAGAGUGUAAAGGCAUAAGGAAGCUUGACUGUGAGACCUGCAAGUCGAACAGGGACGAAAGUCGGUCUUAGUGAUCUGACGGUACUGAGUGGAAAGGCCGUCACUCAACGGAUAAAAGUUACUCUAGGAUAACAGGCUGAUCUCCCCCAAGAGUUCACAUCGACGGGGAGGUUUGGCACCUCGAUGUCGGCUCAUCGCAUCCUGGGGCGGUAGUACGUCCCAAGGGUUGGGCUGUUCGCCCAUGAAAGCGGUACGCGAGCUGGGUUCAGAACGUCGUGAGACAGUUCGGUCCAUAUCCGGUGUAGGCGUUAGAAUAUUGAGAGGAGCCUUCUUUAGUACGAGAGGACCGAGAAGGACAUACCUCUGGUGUACCAGUUAUCGUGCCAACGGUAAACGCUGGGUAGCUAUGUAUGGAGUGGAUAACCGCUGAAAGCAUCUAAGUGGGAAGCCCACCUCAAGAUAAGUAUUCUCAC
rnacentral:rRNA from 1 species